UGGGGAAUUUUGGACAAUGGGCGAAAGCCUGAUCCAGCAAUGCCGCGUGCAGGACGAAGGCCUUCGGGUUGUAAACUGCUUUUGUACGGAACGAAAAGGUAGCUCCUAAUACGAGCUGCCGAUGACGGUACCGUAAGAAUAAGCACCGGCUAACUACGUGCCAGCAGCCGCGGUAAUACGUAGGGUGCGAGCGUUAAUCGGAAUUACCGGGCGUAAAGCGUGCGCAGGCGGUUUUGUAAGAUAGAUGUGAAAUCCCCGGGCUCAACCUGGGAACUGCAUAUAUGACUGCAAAGCUAGAGUACGGUAGAGGGGGAUGGAAUUCCGCGUGUAGCAGUGAAAUGCGUAGAUAUGCGGAGGAACACCGAUGGCGAAGGCAAUCCCCUGGACCUGUACUGACGCUCAUGCACGAAAGCGUGGGGAGCAAACAGGAUUAGAUACCCUGGUAGUCCACGCCCUAAACGAUGUCAACUGGUUGUUGGGUCUUUACUGACUCAGUAACGUAGCUAACGCGUGAAGUUGACCGCCUGGGGAGUACGGCCGCAAGGUUG
rnacentral:rRNA from 1 species